CCAAUAGCGUAUAUUAAAGUUGUUGCAGUUAAAAAGCUCGUAGUUGAAUUUCGGGAUCAAGGGAUCGGUCAUGCCUUGGUAUGUACUGGUUUUAUUGGUUCUCACCUUCUAAAGAACCAUGAUGUCAUUCAUUUGAUGUUAUGGGGAAUUAGGACUGUUACCUUGAAAAAAUUAGAGUGUUUAAAGCAAGCUUACGCUUGAAUACAUUAGCAUGGAAUAAUGAAAUAGGACAUCAGAUUCUAUUUUGUUGGUUUCUAGGAUCGAUGUAAUGAUUAAUAGGGAUAGCUGGGGGCAUUAGUAUUCAAUUGUCAGAGGUGAAAUUCUUGGAUUUAUUGAAGACUAACUACUGCGAAAGCAUUUGCCAAGGAUGUUUUCAUUAAUCAAGAACGAAAGUUAGGGGAUCGAAGACGAUCAGAUACCGUCGUAGUCUUAACCAUAAACUAUGCCGACUAGGGAUCGUAUGAUGUUAAUUUUUUAAUGACUCAUUCGGCACCUUACG
rnacentral:rRNA from 1 species